GACGAACGCUGGCGGCGUGCUUAACACAUGCAAGUCGAACGGAAAGGCCCUGCUUUUGUGGGGUGCUCGAGUGGCGAACGGGUGAGUAACACGUGAGUAACCUGCCCUUGACUUUGGGAUAACUUCAGGAAACUGGGGCUAAUACCGGAUAGGAGCUCCUGCUGCAUGGUGGGGGUUGGAAAGUUUCGGCGGUUGGGGAUGGACUCGCGGCUUAUCAGCUUGUUGGUGGGGUAGUGGCUUACCAAGGCUUUGACGGGUAGCCGGCCUGAGAGGGUUACCGGACACAUUGGGACUGAGAGACGGACCAGACUCCUACGGGAGGCAGCAGUGGGGAAUAUUGCACAAUGGGAGGAAGCCUGAUGCAGCAACGCCGCGUGCGGGAUGACGGCCUUCGGGUUGUAAACCGAUUUCGCCUGUGACGAAGCGUGAGUGACGGUAAUGGGUAAAGAAGCACCGGCUAACUACGUG
rnacentral:rRNA from 1 species